rnacentral:rRNA from 1 species
UACGAAGGUUGCAAGCGUUACUCGGAAUUACUAGGCGUAAAGGGCAGGUAGGUGGUUUGGUAAGUCUAUUGUGAAAGCUCCCGGCUUAACUGGGAGAGGCCAAUGGAUACUGCCAAGCUUGAGUAUAGGAGAGGUUACUGGAAUUCCCGGUGUAGCGGUGAAAUGCGCAGAUAUCGGGAGGAACACCAAUGGCGAAAGCAGGUAACUGGACUAUUACUGACGCUGAGGAGCGAAAGCGUGGGGAGCGAACAGG